UCUGAGUUAAAACUAUUUACAUGAUCUUCAACAGUACGUCAAACAUGAAACCAAUACCCAAGCAAACCCACUUGAUACUAAACCCCUCUUUUGUUUAGCAAAACUGGACACACGUGAUUCUCAGCAAAGUUCAAUUAUACUUACAUCACACCUGGCUGCACAUAAACCUCUACCAUAGCAACAUUAACAGUCCCUUUGUACAAAAAUUAACUGGCCAAAGUUUAUAAUUUAGCUAUCAUUACAAACCAGAAUUUAAACUAAAUAGACAUGAUCAAUUGUAACAAAACAAACAAGCUCAUUGGAGAGGCUAAUGCCUUUUCAGAGAUAUAGGAGGCAACAUUUAACUAACUAAUAUGAUAUAGAUUGACAUAACUUUAUAUUCUUCCAUUUCUCAUGUCAAAAGGUCGAAGAAUACCUGAAUACAACAUCAAAACAAAUGAAAAUGAGUUGGGAGCUAACAGUAAGCAGCAACAAUAAUAAUCUCGAAUAAUAAUGAAAGCCACAGCAAGAUCGGCUCGCAAAUCAGCAAGCAAAACAGACUUCAAACCCAGGACAUUGUGUGGUAACCCAGAGUAACCAGUUCAAAUGAUUCUCAACCCAGAUCUCGACGGUCCAGAUCUAAUAUUAACCAAAUGACAUCAUAUCAGUACAACAAAG
rnacentral:lncRNA from 1 species